AGGAGGGCUGCGGAUGGAGUGUGGGUUCAAAUUCUGCUCCAGGUGUCUCAGUCUCUUGCAUCCUAUUCCCCUGCCCCUGCUCCGACUCUCUCAGCUCUAGGCAAGCAAACCCUUUUGGAAAUUUAUGUAGGAAGAACCAGCAAACUGCUUUGAGGCCGGGGCCAGUUGAACACAAGCCAUUGUGUUGUGAGCAUUGAUGUGGACAGCAUAGAAAAAAUGCACGGCAGGACUCAGAUCUGCCUUAUUGUGCACCUUGCCUGGGCUUUCUACUGUGAAAACCGAAUUCUUGGCUUGGUGUCAAUGAGAACUAGCUCAUACAUUAUCAGAUGUAAGUAACAUCCAGUAGGAUGACAGAAUCCUGGUCUACCAAUUGUCAUUUACAUAAAGUAGGGUUUGUUUAUUGUCAAGAAGCACUGACUGCCUUACUAGUCACCCAAAUCACUCUCAGUAAUGAUGAGACUCAGAGUCAUUUUCAGUAAUUACCUGCCACAUCCUAGAGAUUGCCUGUGCACAUGUGCCCUUCCAGCAAGCAAUGCAAUCAAUUCUAAGUUGGCAGGGGAAACUGAGUCACGGGAUCACAUGGGAACAUCAGCUAGAGACUGAGGAGGUAAGUCGAAUAAGAGAAGACAAUAUAACAUUUAAGUUAAGGCUGCAGCAAGAGUUAAGUGUGGGAAUAGUUCAGGAUUAGUUAACUGGGAGCCUGUGGUAGGUUUGAUGUGUUACACCAAAGAGAGAACGGCCUGUAC
rnacentral:lncRNA from 1 species